AUUGAACGCUGGCGGCAUGCUUUACACAUGCAAGUCGAACGGUAACAGGCCGCAAGGUGCUGACGAGUGGCGAACGGGUGAGUAAUGCAUCGGAACGUGCCCAGUCGUGGGGGAUAACUACUCGAAAGAGUAGCUAAUACCGCAUACGAUCUAUGGAUGAAAGCGGGGGACCGUAAGGCCUCGCGCGAUUGGAGCGGCCGAUGUCAGAUUAGGUAGUUGGUGGGGUAAAGGCUCACCAAGCCAACGAUCUGUAGCUGGUCUGAGAGGACGACCAGCCACACUGGGACUGAGACACGGCCCAGACUCCUACGGGAGGCAGCAGUGGGGAAUUUUGGGCAGUGGGCGCAAGCCUGAUCCAGCAAUGCCGCGUGAAGGAAGAAGGCCUUCGGGUUGUAAAACUCUUUUGUUAGGAAAGAAAAGGGUUUGGUUAAUACCCGGGGCUAAUGACGGUACCGUAAGAAUAAGCCACGGCUAACUACGUG
rnacentral:rRNA from 1 species